ACACGCUAGCAUGACAAAUCCACUCGCAAAAGUGAACUCGAGUCAUCACUGAAGUUCAGUUUCAGCCACAUCUGGAUUCCAUGGCUCCACUUCCUGUAUCGACCUCACAGGCUUUUAUUCGCUGGGCCAGAGUGAAGCUUCAGUUGUGCUCCUAAAUGUUCUGCUUCAUGAACGGCUCCAAAACAAGCUCCUCAUCAUCAGUGCCAUCAUGCGCAUCUUCAUCCGCAGAGCUGGUGCCAUCAAAACCCGUCAAUAUCAAACACAAUGCUUCACCAUCAUGUUACCAUGACGACAAGGUUGUAAAGAAUAUGCUUCUUCAUCAGUGUGGCUGCAUUUAUUCUUUAUAAGAGUGAGACAACAGCGCCAUCAUGAGGUCAAACAGGAAAAACAACAUUACCCACUAUCACUUGCAUCCAGCAUCCCAUGAAAAACAACAGUGUCAUUCCUAAAUACCAUCCAGCAAUAGCAGAGUCAUCAGUUUCUAUUAAGAUUUAUAAUGUUUUAUAAAUCAUAAAUCAGCUAUGUGGGAGGAAAAGAUGUAAGACAAAAAAAAGGAGCAUUUUGUGAUGAUCUGCCUUUUUUCCCCCAAGAUCUGUUUAAUGUCACCUCUCACAGCUCAGACCAUGUCCUCCCCCUUCACACCUGCAAUUCUCCUUCCGCCCACAAGAUGUCCCCAGACUUUUUUUUCCCUGUUGACCUUUUAUUACAGUAAAGAGAGAAAAUUAACUUUAGUUGCCAUUUUUAGGUUGGAACAACUUCAUAAAAUGAAGUAAACAACUAAAUUUCAAGUAAACUUAACGAGUGAUGUAAAGUUACAUUUAUUAAGGCAAUCAGUUUCCUGGAUUCUUUAAGAUCAACUUGUCACAUUUUACAGUGUGGCUAUAAAGUUGUUUUUGCCUUAUGAAGCGAAUCACUAAAUCAACCCGACUUAGUGUCUGCAUUUGGUUCCACCUCUACCUGUGCUGUUAUCAGUGAAUCCUGAAUGUGAUAUCUUCAUGUUAUCAUGAAUGACAUCACAUGAAUGGCUUUCAUUUGAACGCCCCCUUAUGGUUUCAAUAUCUCAUUCCAUCCGUUCAAAGUGUAUCCGGUCAGUUUAAAAUUGGCCCAGUACUCCCUUUACACAUCCAUAGCCAGUCAGCACAUUGCUGGGGUUUACUUCUGAACAAUCUGAAUUGGGUUCUGUCCAGUCAUGUUGUUUUCUGUGUUGUUGUUGUGUCUCGCACCCCUGGGCCACCAAAUAUUUUGGCAGAUGAAGUUUUAUAUUUGCUGUGGAGGACGUGGACUUUGUCCCCAAUAAGAAUCUCUUUGUGUUCAGUACAGACAGGAGGGACCAUUACUGUCAGGAGGUAUUGUAAGUAGAUGAAGUCUGACAUAAAUUAAGCUGAAUUUUGGAAUUAUCUUCUCUCAAAACAUGAGGAGUAUGGAUUUUAUCCUCCAUUGAAAUCAUAUUAGUAAGAGAUUCCCUGAAUGUAAUGUUCAAUGUUGUUUUAAAACAGACAUAUAAAAAAACUUUGGACCUGCGUUAUAAACUCUAAAAGGCAGCUACAAUAAUUAUACCAUAGCCCCUCCCAGCUCCUGACUGUGGAGUGUUUUAUGACUCCGAACAUAAUAAAGUGAACAGAGAGGACAUUUUGAGAUUCACCCAGUGAAACUCCGUCCUCUGAUGACAACAGACAGACAAACACAUCAUCACUUUCAGAGUCACCAACUCUUUAAUUACCCAACAAUAUUGUAAAAUACAUUUAAAAUCAAUAUGAGUCAUAGUCCUCAUAGUUUUUAUGCUGAACUUAUCUCCUUCACAAACAGCACAAGAAAGUGCUCAAGUCAUUCUGUAAAAUAAAUCUUAACAGGAAAAUAAAAAUCUUAAUCCACUCUUGAUAUUCUAUAAGAUAAAACAGUGCUUAAAAAACUAUUUAUGUAUUUUAGCAUUUAGCACUUGGCAUAGAUUAGAUUAGAUGACAGUGAAAAUUAAAUUAAAAUUAAUCAUUAAAAAAGUUAUCAAAAAGCUCCAUGAAGCAACAUUUUUCACAUGAAUAUUAAAUCAAAUGAUUCUCCAAAAUGACAAGAUUUGUGCUACUUUGUUUUUUUUUGUGGGCAGCCACAA